CACAGCGUCCGGGAGUGCCAGCCCGGGAGUGCCCCCCACCUCCCCGGGAGUGCCAGCCCGGGAGUGCCCCACACCGCUCGGGAGUGCCAGCCCGGGAGUGCCCGCCCGCCGACCCCUGUCCGGGAAUGCCCGCCCGCCGGCCCCAGCCCGACCCCCGCCUGUGCCUCCUGCAGACCGCUGCUCAGCAGCCUUGUAAAUGCAAGGGCGCUGCUGCUCCGGUAACCACGAGCUGCCUAGGAGUGUGACUGCCCGUGCUGAGGGAACCAUAGCGCUCCGGAGCUGUCUGGAGAAUUUUCUCCUGAGACUAUAGAAGAGUACUGGGUGGUGUAACAAAUGAUUAAAAGGAUGACAGGUUGCAUACAAAGCUGUUGCAGAACACCAGAAUACCUGAAUGUGCUACAUGCCCAGAUUAUGUCAUGAAGGAGGAUCUGGAGCUGGCAUAUUUUCUCACUCAAAAAGAAUCUAAUAAUUUAAAAAAAUAAAUUCUAUCAAAGACUGUGAUAUCUCUGCAAUAAAACUAAGAAGAUGUUAUGAAGUUUAAAUUUCUUGCACUGUGUUAGCCUUGUGACCCACUUUGGGUAUGCUUAUAGCAAAGCUUUUGUUAAGAUCAGGCAAGUACCCUCAACACAAGAAUUUGUGUCCUGUGGUUUGCACUGUCAAGUGUUUGUUCUUAAAGUGCCCAAAAUUAAUACUUCUCAGAUGAAUUUGAUACAAAUUUUUUAUCAAAUGGAGUCGAGCAGGCACUUCAAAAGUGCACAUACAGCAGUUCGGCUUGUAAUUAACUUAAGUCCCUGAUUCUCUGAGACAUGUAAGCCACCUUAGAUUUAUUUUUUGCUGGUCUUUUCUUCACUGCUGUUCCCAUGGGACAUGGCUGUUCUUGCCUGAACAGUGCACAAGAAUAGUUCAACAUGAGCUGGAGCAGAAAAGACUCUGAGAUAAAGGUUGCACUAAUGAAAAACUGGAGCAAGAAGUUUAUAAAUGAGAAUCUUGAAAUAUCUCCUUACAAAUACAGUUUACCAGACUUGCUUUAAAAAACAGAGAAUUCAGUGAGUUUUGAUAUUUAAAUAUCAGGCUAGCAUCACUCUGAGUAAUUUUCUUGACCUAGCAAUGAUUCCAGGAAUUAACUUAGUGUCAAUUUCAGAUAUUCCUCACCCGCUCUUGUGGUGUACAACCGACCUCUUCGUAUGUCGCGCCUUUAACAAUUAUGGUGGUUCAGAUGAUCCUCAUCUGUAGGCUAAGGGUAAUACUUCUCAGACUGAAAGUUUUGUAAGGCUAUGGUCAUUGACAUUUGUGACACACAUAGCAACUGUGCAGGCAUAGCUUUUGAAAAACCUAUAAAUAGAAUAACCCAUUAUAUUUUUGGCGAGGAGGUUUGUUGCUUUUUUAAAAAUCUAAAAUUUAGCAAUAUUUGGUAGACUUCCUAUUUAGGUGCCAUAGAAUUUCAAAGACAAAUUACAGUAAUUUUACGACUAUAAGGCGCACCUUAAUGACUAAAAUUUUGAUCGA